rnacentral:miRNA from 1 species
UACAGGCAAAAGUACAAGAUAGCACUCCAGGGACUUCCAAGUGGAAGUCCCUGGAGUGCUAUCUUGUACUUUUGGCUGUAUCUGUUU